rnacentral:rRNA from 1 species
AAGCUGAUGCAGCAACGCCGCGUGAGGGAUGACGGCCUUCGGGUUGUAAACCUCUUUUAGCAGGGAAGAAGCGAAAGUGACGGUACCUGCAGAAAAAGCGCCGGCUAACUACGUGCCAGCAGCCGCGGUAAUACGUAGGGCGCAAGCGUUAUCCGGAAUUAUUGGGCGUAAAGAGCUCGUAGGCGGUUUGUCGCGUCUGCUGUGAAAUCCCGAGGCUCAACCUCGGGUCUGCAGUGGGUACGGGCAGACUAGAGUGCGGUAGGGGAGAUUGGAAUUCCUGGUGUAGCGGUGGAAUGCGCAGAUAUCAGGAGGAACACCGAUGGCGAAGGCAGAUCUCUGGGCCGUUACUGACGCUGAGGAGCGAAAGGGUGGGGAGCAAACAGGCUUAGAUACCCUGGUAGUCCACCCCGUAAACGUUGGGAACUAGUUGUGGGGUCCAUUCCACGGAUUCCGUGACGCAGCUAACGCAUUAAGUUCCCCGCCUGGGGAGUACGGCCGCAAGGCUAAAACUCAAAGGAAUUGACGGGGACCCGCACAAGCGGCGGAGCAUGCGGAUUAAUUCGAUGCAACGCGAAGAACCUUACCAAGGCUUGACAUAUACGAGAACGGGCCAGAAAUGGUCAACUCUUUGGACACUCGUAAACAGGUGGUGCAUGGUUG